GAAAUGCGAUACUUGGUGUGAAUUGCAGAAUCCCGUGAACCAUCGAGUCUUUGAACGCAAGUUGCGCCCCAAGCCGUCAGGCCGAGGGCACGUCUGCCUGGGUGUCACGCAUCGUCGCCCCCCCGCCGCUCCCCGCGCCCCUCUCCGGGGGACGGGUCGCGCGCGGGUGGGCGGAGAUUGGCCUCCCGCGAGUCACCCCUCGCGGCUGGCCGAAAUACGGAUCCCCGGCCAGCGGUGGCCGCGACGUUCGGUGGUCGUAACGCGCCUCGUGAACCCGUCGCGCGCUCCGCUUCGCCUCUCGCGGGAUCCCCGGCCCCGAGGCGGCGCAAGCCGCUCGCAUCGCGACCCCAGGUCAGGCGGGACUACCCGCUGAGUUUAA
rnacentral:misc_RNA from 1 species